ACGACGCUGGCGGCGCGCCUAACACAUGCAAGUCGAACGAAGUUAUACAGACUGAAGUUUUCGGAUGGAUGACUGUGUAACUUAGUGGCAAACGGGUGAGUAACGCGUAAGCAACCUGCCCUUCAGAUGGGGGACAACAGCUGGAAACGGCUGCUAAUACCGAAUACGUUCUUUUUGUCGCAUGGCAGAGGGAAGAAAGGGAGGCUCUUCGGAGCUUUCGCUGAAGGAGGGGCUUGCGUCUGAUUAGCUAGUUGGAGGGGUAACGGCCCACCAAGGCGACGAUCAGUAGCCGGUCUGAGAGGAUGAACGGCCACAUUGGGACUGAGACACGGCCCAGACUCCUACGGGAGGCAGCAGUGGGGAAUCUUCCGCAAUGGACGAAAGUCUGACGGAGCAACGCCGCGUGAACGAUGACGGCCUUCGGGUUGUAAAGUUCUGUUAUACGGGACGAAUGGCGUAGCGGUCAAUACCCGUUACGAGUGACGGUACCGUAAGAGAAAGCCACGGCUAACUACGUG
rnacentral:rRNA from 1 species